GGGCCCAUAGCUUAGUCUGGGAGCCUUUUGCAUUAAUUUGCAGGGUUGGACAAUAGAGCGCUAGUCUUAUAAGCUAGUGGUCGGCGGUUCAAAUCCGCCUGGGCCCA
rnacentral:tRNA from 1 species